UCUAUAAUGGGGCGCAGCGCCUCUAGAUCACCUGCCAGGGGUCGUGGAUCUCCUCGCAGGAGGAGCCCUUCACGCAGGGAAAGGUCACCUGCUCAUAAAAGGAGUUCACAUGCUGCAAGUUCAGCUGUAGCAGAGAAGCCUUCAAGACGUGCAAGGUCAAGAUCUCCUGUUCCUCUUUCACCUGCUCGAGAGAAGCCUUCUAGUCGAAAUAAAUCCCCAAAGCGCAGAAAAUCAAUCUCCCCUGCAUCUGACUCCCCAGUCAGAGAGAAACCCUCAAGUCGCAUGAAGUCCUUCAAACGAGCUAAGUCAAGGUCUCCGGAUUCAAAGUUGUUACAGGGAGAGAAAUCUUCAGGCCGAGCCAGGUCUCCUAAACGUGCCAAGUUGCAGUCUCCUGAACAGCGCUCACCCUCACCACGAACAAAAAGACUGAGGAGAGCAGAACGAGAGACUGAAGAAAAAUUGAGGGAGCGGGAUCCGGAGAAGAAUCACAGGAGAUCUAAUGAUAGGGCUACAUAUAGGGAAAAGGAUUCUGACAAAAUGUUGCCUGAAUCUCGCUCACCCUCACCACGAACAAAGAGA
rnacentral:misc_RNA from 1 species